rnacentral:rRNA from 1 species
UAGGGAAUCUUCGGCAAUGGACGAAAGUCUGACCGAGCAACGCCGCGUGAGUGAAGAAGGUUUUCGGAUCGUAAAACUCUGUUGUUAGAGAAGAACAAGGACGUUAGUAACUGAACGUCCCCUGACGGUAUCUAACCAGAAAGCCACGGCUAACUACGUGCCAGCAGCCGCGGUAAUACGUAGGUGGCAAGCGUUGUCCGGAUUUAUUGGGCGUAAAGCGAGCGCAGGCGGUUUCUUAAGUCUGAUGUGAAAUCCCCGGGCUCAACCUGGGAACUGCAUUCGAAACUGGCAGGCUAGAGUCUUGUAGAGGGGGGUAGAAUUCCAGGUGUAGCGGUGAAAUGCGUAGAGAUCUGGAGGAAUACCGGUGGCGAAGGCGGCCCCCUGGACAAAGACUGACGCUCAGGUGCGAAAGCGUGGGGAGCAAACAGG